AGAAAUCUGUGAUGCUGUGCCAGUUGAAGAAGUUGGUGGCGGCAGAGAGUAUGAUGUUUUUGCUGAUUAUUGCUAUAAGGGAUUACAAUGGUUUUGCACAGAGCAUAAAUUAAGUUAUCGAAGAAUUUAUGCUACGUUGCUAUUGAUUAUAAAACCAAACCGUCAAAAGAUACUCGAGCAUCACUGGAGGCUCCAACUGUGGGCCGGUUUACUAUGUCAAAGGAACACUUUCAAAUUGGAGAGAUCUUAUUCCAGCCUGUAU